rnacentral:misc_RNA from 1 species
GCCAUUUGUAAUAGGCGAUGAGUUGAUUCUUGAGAGGACAGAGUCAUGAAUUGAUUCCGUCACAAAUGCGAUGGCCCAUUGGGGAAUUGGAGGAGAGGGAAUGAGCCAAGAACCGAAUCAAGGGGAAUUAGAGAAGAGGAAAGAGGGAAACAGCAAGGAGGAGGAGGAGGGAGGGGAAACGGUGAGAAGAAGAAUAAGAAUGGUACAGAUGGUGUGGCUCAUGUGUGAUGGGCUAAUGGCUUUAAGCAGUAGAGCAGAAGAGAGCUUUAUAUUAGACAGUAGCAUCUAGAUAUAAAACAGCAUAACAUUGCUAAGUGAGUAAAAUCGAAUUGAAACCAAACUGAUCAACUGAAAAA